GAUGAACGCUAGCGAUAGGCUUAACACAUGCAAGUCGAGGGGCAUCGAGGGUAGCAAUACCUGUCGGCGACCGGCGCACGGGUGAGUAACGCGUAUGUAACCUGCCCGCAACAGAGGGAUAACCCGGCGAAAGUCGGACUAAUACCUCAUAAAACAGGGGUUCCGCAUGGGGCUAUUUGUUAAAGAUUUAUUGGUUGCGGAUGGGCAUGCGUACCAUUAGGUAGUUGGUGAGGUAACGGCUCACCAAGCCAUCGAUGGUUAGGGGUUCUGAGAGGAAGGUCCCCCACACUGGUACUGAGACACGGACCAGACUCCUACGGGAGGCAGCAGUGAGGAAUAUUGGUCAAUGGGCGAGAGCCUGAACCAGCCAAGUCGCGUGAAGGAUGACUGCCCCUAUGGGUUGUA
rnacentral:rRNA from 1 species